rnacentral:rRNA from 1 species
UGGGGAAUAUUGGGCAAUGGGCGCAAGCCUGACCCAGCAACGCCGCGUGAAGGAAGAAGGCUUUCGGGUUGUAAACUUCUUUUCUAAGGGACGAAGGAAGUGACGGUACCUUAGGAAUAAGCCACGGCUAACUACGUGCCAGCAGCCGCGGUAAUACGUAGGUGGCAAGCGUUAUCCGGAUUUACUGGGUGUAAAGGGCGUGUAGGCGGGACUGCAAGUCAGAUGUGAAAACCAUGGGCUCAACCUGUGGCCUGCAUUUGAAACUGUAGUUCUUGAGUACUGGAGAGGCAGACGGAAUUCCUAGUGUAGCGGUGAAAUGCGUAGAUAUUAGGAGGAACACCAGUGGCGAAGGCGGCCUGCUGGGCUUUAACUGACGCUGAGGCUCGAAAGCGUGGGUAGCAAACAGGAUUAGAUACCC